GACGAACGCUGGCGGCGUGCCUAAUACAUGCAAGUCGAACGAACCGCGACUAAGUGCUUGCACUAAGUCAAGGUGAGUGGCGAACGGGUGAGUAACACGUGGGUAACCUACCUCAUAGUGGGGGAUAACAGUCGGAAACGACUGCUAAUACCGCAUAGGACAUAGGAUCACAUGAUCCAGUGAGGAAAGGUGGCGCAAGCUAUCGCUAAGAGAUGGGCCCGCGGUGCAUUAGCUAGUUGGUAGGGUAAAGGCCUACCAAGGCGAUGAUGCAUAGCCGACCUGAGAGGGUGAUCGGCCACAUUGGGACUGAGACACGGCCCAAACUCCUACGGGAGGCAGCAGUAGGGAAUCUUCCGCAAUGGACGCAAGUCUGACGGAGCAACGCCGCGUGAGUGAAGAAGGUCUUCGGAUCGUAAAGCUCUGUUGUUAGAGAAGAACAGCGCAUAGAGUAACUGCUAUGCGUGUGACGGUAUCUAACCAGAAAGCCACGGCUAACUACGUG
rnacentral:rRNA from 1 species